ACAUGUCUGCAUCAUAGUGUUAAUGCACUAGAUCCCAUUAGAACUCCACGGUUAAGAACGCUUAGGCUAGAGUAGUACUGGGAUGGGUAACCACCCAAGAAGUCCUAGUGUUUUACAUGCC
rnacentral:rRNA from 1 species